UACGUAGGGUGCAAGCGUUAAUCGGAAUUACUGGGCGUAAAGCGUGCGCAGGCGGUUUUGUAAGUCUGUCGUGAAAGCCCCGGGCUCAACCUGGGAAUUGCGAUGGAGACUGCAAGGCUUGAAUCUGGCAGAGGGGGGUAGAAUUCCACGUGUAGCAGUGAAAUGCGUAGAGAUGUGGAGGAACACCGAUGGCGAAGGCAGCCCCCCUGGGUCAAGAUUGACGCUCAUGCACGAAAGCGUGGGGAGCAAACAGGAUUGAGAAACCCUUGUAGUCCAGAACCCAAUGUCUCGUCGUCUAACCCGUCA
rnacentral:rRNA from 1 species